UCUCGAUCGCUUUGCCUUUUCACGUAUUUGUUUGCCUAUGCCGUGUGAAUUUCGCGUAAAAAGGGGUGUCGAAAGUGCCAAAUCUAAUUGCGAGCGAUCGUCCGAAUGUAUUAAAUAUGGUAUUAUUUACCACCGUAUUAUUUACUCACGAUACGAUCGUGAGCGCGCCUCUCGGUAAUCAUAACCUAUAUAUCGCGUCCAUCGAAGGGAUCUAUUCUCUGAUACACGCGUGUUUCGCGUGUACUCGCUUGUCCGUAUAUGUCCCAAGUACCCUCCCGAAACAUGGAGGAGCAUUGAGAGAGGCAUCAAUGGAACGUCGCGUCGCAUUAAUCGAAACAGAUGAUUGCACUUGAUUGUGUGAUAUCCGUGUAACGGUUCGUGUCCAUCAUUCCUGUGCCGAUGGUGCGUAGCUUCUCUAAUUUUCACGUCGGUCAAAUGCGUGUACACAUGGCAAACAACGAGUGCCGAAUGUAUCUACCGGGCGAUCGUUUUAGUGCGUCAAUUAAUCUGUUCGAUCGGGCAAUCGAAUGCGUUCGUCGAUAUUCGCUAGCGAUAUCGAUCGCAUCCCGUCGCAUUCAUGUAUUUGGCGAUACGUGUCGCAUUAUUCCGUGAACUUCGUAUUAUUCGCAAGUGUGAUCGAGCAUCGGGAGUGUAUCCGUGAAUCCGCGUCGAUGAACAUCCAGAUGCAUCGAGCAAUCGCUUCGUGACAGAUUAAUCGAGAGGGAGGGCUGCUCUGACGCUUUGUACAUUUGGUAAUGGAUGAUGGCGGCGGGAGAUACGACGAAACAGAAAGCGGCGGAUUCGGCGUGGGCGUAAUUGGCGUCGCGAGGAGGAAAACGACAGGUCGGAAGUAUCUCCACGGUUGCGCACGGAAGGUAGUCACGUCGCUGUUUAUACACGUGCGGUUGCAGUCACAACAGUUGUUAGGUUGCGCCAAUCGCCAAGCAUUAUUCUGCGAUCGGUUCGAUCUCGGAUGUCGAUAAAUGUGCAAAUAUCAAUAAACGGUAAGAGCCAACAAUAGCAUUUUGAAAGGAGCGGCUUGGAGAACGAAUCGACUUAGGCAGAUUCCAACAAUUGAACAAGAAAUACCAUACAAUCUUGAGUUCUGCCGAAGGUAGGUGGGAGAAAACGUACUUGGAUGCUGAGCACGUAUUGACAACCUGGUCACCGACGCGCUCAAUGGCAACCCCAAAUAGAAAGAAAGGUGAAAGACGUUUUCUUCCUCCGCUCUCUCCCCUAUCCCGUUCCCAAUCCUCUUGCCGACGCCCGCGCUCUUGCACAGGAACACUUUUACAACGGUCAGCGCUCUCUGAUGUUCGAACAAAUCUCCGCCGACGACUUCUCGCAUGCAGUCCAAUUUAACUAAAUCCUUUCCGCUUUUCCUCGCCGAUGGAGAGGCCCGGACGAGGGUAGGUUGGGGGGAGGCGAGUGGGGGUAUCCAUACGUGAAGAUAAGAUUGGAAAAGUUGUAUGAGGGGCAACUUUAACGGCUAUAUAACCAUUACAGUGCCGAUAAAGUGGAAUCUAGUGUCUUAACGGUCCGGAACGAAAUUCCGGAUAUAGCGUCGUAUAUUCCAAUGGAGUUAAACACGUUCAGAUACUGGUCGUCUGCCCGCCGUUGUGAGAAGUGUACGCGCUGGUUUAUUGAUCAAUCGAUCUGAGAAAUGGUCAGGGUAACUUCCACCUAUCUAUCCUACUUUACACGCGCUUAUGAAUCCGUCCAUAAACAGGGAUAACGGACUUGGUUCUCUAGUGGAUCAAGAAAUUUUACAGAUACGAUUGCAUUUCACAUGGCAAUUCGCGUCUCUCGUGUCGAUAAAGAUUGUAAUCCGUAAACUGUUUGUUAUAUUUGCUACAUACAUACUUUAUUUAUAGUGUUGUAAUAUUAUACGAUAAAAAUUACACACCUUUCCCUUUGAUCACAAAUAAAUUUUACAAUAAAUUUUCAAUCGCAUCAUCUCGAACGUAUUAUAUUUAUUAUGAAACAUUAAAUUUACGUACGAUAAAUGUGGGGUUCCUUACGGCAAUAUAUUUAUAUGUGCGGAAAACAGAUUGAUAACAUAUGUUAUACCAGAGACAAGAAGCAGUAAUUUUAAAUUACAACGCGAAUGUUGUUGAUGUAAAUAUAAGGAUCGCUGGUAGACGAUAAUACAUAUUUGUGCUGCAGGCUACGUUUGCCAUAACUCACCCACGGGACUGACAGCUUGCAUAAUACCCGCGAAAUUGGUUUUAUAAGACGACGCCAAGCACUGCUUCACAACAAUGCCAUAAACGCUCCGGGUAAAUUACGACUCAGUGGCGUAACAACGUCGGCGGAAAGAAUAUCGAAAAACUAUGCGUAUUUUUUCAAAAAAUUUUAUUUAUUUAUA